GCAGGCCCUCCGUGCGGUGGUACCUCGCUGAACUCCCCCAGGGCGGGAACGCAGCAAGGGUAGGUGAGCUCUUCCAGGUGCGCGGAGGGUCCCUUCA
rnacentral:SRP_RNA from 1 species